rnacentral:misc_RNA from 1 species
GAAAAAUAUGAAAAUUGCUCUCCCAUUUUUCUGCUUCUACAUUCUAGCAAGCAGCCAUGUGUAUGGUGACGUUCCAGAAAUCAUAGUUACUAAGGCAAGUGAGGAAGUUUUACCACCAGGACCCUUUACAAAGGCGGGUAGAUUGUAGCCUCGGUGUGGAACAAGAUGGACUCGUGUGUCAAGCCUAUAUCCCCGUUUAUAGAUGGAGCGACGCUGAGAAAAAAUGUAUCAAAGACAUCUAUGGAGGCUGCCGUUCGACCAAAAACAAUUUCCUUACAGAAGCAGAUUGUGUAAAAACGGCAACUCCAGUUUGUUCUAAUUGAUUGUAUAUCGAUACGUAUACAAUAUAAAAACUUAUUGUAUUUUAUAAAAACAAUAAAAAAUUUAAUUGUUUCCUA